UGUUGUGUAUUUUCACAGGAAUUUGAAGCAGUCGAUGAUGAUAAUGAGACUGGAGAGACCAAAAUUCUACGCUGGGAAUCGUUUUUUACAUAUCUCGCCCAAUGCAAUAAUCGCACAAAGCACUCCACCGACCGCAUGAAUUGGGUCUUUUUGAAUAUGCGUACGGAAGUGAAGCAAGGACUCAAGGCUGGCUUGACUCUUCCCCACAUUUGGGGUGCCACCCGCCUGGGAUGGCAACGCAAUCCAUUUGUGGGACCUGCAGCAAUUUACUGUGGCGAGUUCCCAAUCUCAUUUAAUUACGACGGCUUCCGCCUGUAUGAAAUACCACUCAAACCAGAGGAUGUCAAACCUAAUGCAGUGGCUCAGAAGAUGAAGCUGAUCGAGGAAAUAUUAACUGAAUAGUGUACUCACCUCUCAAGUUCCUCGCGUUUCUUUCGCUCUUCCUCCUACACAAAGGGAAGAGAAAGUAUUAGACAUGUUUCAAACCUCGGAUGAAAGCAGGAGUACAUAGCAAAUAUGUCACGGCAUAUAGUGUAGAAGAACAACAUAAUUAAUAUAACUUUAAAUUUAAUGGACCUGUCACUCUUUUUAUGAAAUCUUAA